UUAAUCUUAUGUUAGAAAACUUAGAGUAGCAUGAGGAUUUCUAUGAAAGAAAGAUUAAAGUAAUGGUGAACCUGUAGGUCUGGACACAAAAGACAGCACAUUUCAGUGUUAAACUAACCAGCCCCAGUGGGGUGCACAGAAACUGGAAAUAUCAAUUCAGAUGUUAAUGAGUGCUGAGACCUACAGACAAGAUGUAACUAGGCCACUAUUAGCAAACUGCAACUUCAGGUCUUGGACAAUCCUCCAAAUCUUUUGGAGUAAUCCAGAUGGAAUAAUUGCUUGGAUGACAUCCUAGCAAAGGAUAUGGUAGAACAAACUAGUUUUCUGAAGUGGCCCGUACUCCAUCUGUAACUCAUUCUGCUCAUACCAGGGACCUCUUAGGGUCUCACAGUCCUAUUUGUAUUUCCAUUAGAGAUUCCCACCUGUUGUGGGAAUUUUUUAUUCUUAUUAUUUUCUUAUUUUUAUUCUUAUUAUUAUCUUAUUUUGAAUGAGAGUUCUUUUAGGGUGCUUUUCAUUGAGAAAUUCAUAGAGAUUUCAAGAGGAAAACAAGCUAAUGUGUGAUAGAGAAAGGAUCUGUAAGGGAUGAAGAGAAGUGUAAUGCUGUUACCUUUUAACAGUGACCAUUCUGUACCAAAAUAUUUAGAAGGACAGAACACAGAAUAAAGCUUUAAGGCCCUGAAGGGAUCUGAAAGAAAGCCUCAGACACAACAAUCAGAAACCUUGAUAUCCUUGGCAAGUUGUGGCUCAUCUCUUCCAGCCAAAUUAGAAGCGACAAGUGUAAUUGCUGAACACAUCUCCUCUACACAAUGGCUGAUGUUCUCUGGAGAAAUCCUUUUGCUCAUGUAAAAAAACCCCAUCAACACUGAGAUAAGAAGAGGAAUCUGAACAAGCUCCAGAAGUGGGCUAAUGAGUGAAACUCAUGAGGUUCAACAAGAUCAAGUGCACGUGCACUCACAGCCCAGAAAGCCACGUCUAUCCUGGACUGUCUCAGAAGAAAUGUGACCAGAAGGAGGUUGAACGAGGUGAAUCUUUCCUGCUACUCCACUUUCCGCAGGUCACUCUUGGAGCAGUACAACCAGCUCUGGGGUCCAUCCAGCAUAGGAAAGAAAUGGACCUGUUGGAGGAGUUCCAGAGGAGGCCCACCAAUAGGAUCAAAUGGGCUGGAGAAUCUCUCCUGUAAGAGAGGGGGAGUUUUUGAGGCUAGAGAAGAGAAGGCUCUGGGGAGACCUUAUCCCAGCUUUCAGUACCUAAAGGGAGCUUGUAAGAAAGAUAGGAACAAACUUUUUUAGUACAACCUCUGGCAACAGGGGACAAGGGGUCGUGGUUUUAAACUGAAAGAAGAUAGAUGUAGACUAGGAGAAGAUUUUUUACAAGGAGGGUGGUGAAACACUGAUAUAGGUUGCCUAGGAGGUGGAUGUUCCAUUCCUGGAAGCAUUCAAGGUCAAGUUGGAUUGGUGCUCUGAGAAACCUGAUCUAGUUGAAGAUGUCCCUGGUCAUUGCAGAGGGCUUAGAUAAGAAGACCUUUAAUGUUCCCGACCAAUCCAUACUAUUCAAUGAUUCUAAGUCUAGAAAACCAACUAAUUGGUAAAUCAACAGCAGUACAUUAAUUCACUCAAACCUGAAUUAAAUGUUAUCUAUUUCAUACAUUGCACACUGAAAGAAAAAGAAAAAAUUCAGAUAUUCAGAGCAAUAUGUAAUGAAAUAUGAUUUUUAACCAAAUAGAGUUAUUAUUGUUUAUCACCCUGUCAUACCAGCUUGCUUUUGACUAGCUAAUACACUCAAUAACAUUACAGAAGUUAGAAAGAAUUGUCUUUGAAUUAUAUUUGGUGAAUAAUUACAAAUCAUGAAUAAUGAAUAUCAAAAUGAAGGAAACUGUCUGCACACAUUUCAUCAACAGAAAGAACUAAAUACAUUUAAUAUAUUUUUUAAGGUAUUCUUUACCUUCUAGUUACCAUCAGAUAUAUAUGGAGAGCUGAGUAGAAAUAUCUAAAUGAAAAUGUAUAAGCUGUUAACUUCAAUGCCCUCUGUCAUAAAAUCAAGCCAUUGACAGCAGUCAUAAAUGCAGUGUUUAAUAUCUUAAACCAGGCAGAAUCAGAAUUCGUGUGGCAACAUUAAAAAAUAAAUAAAUAAUUCAAAUAUUCAUCAAGGAAAAAAAACCACUUAAAAAUUACAACAAAGGAAUAGGUCAAAUCUAAAAAAUCUGAGUAAUGGUCCUACACACCAUUGUACCUAGUAAAAGCAUGGAAAUCAGAAAAUUCAGUAAGCUUUUAAAUUGUAGAUGAAUCUGAAAAUUAGAAACAAAUCACUGCUGCAGUAUGUGCCCCAAGGCUGUUAGUCUCUUCACACACAUCUGAAAGAUUCUGUUGAUGAAUGUGUUCAACACAAGAAGAUAAAUUAAAUUUCAAAUUAUGUAUUUUUCUGGAAAAGUGAAAUUAUAUUAUUUAAUAUUGAAAUUAUAUAUUUUCCUGCAAAUAGGACUCCAAGAUAUCUGUGUCACAAAGUGCUAGCAGUGGGAGACAUUCAUAUAUCAAAAGUGCAUGUCUCAUUUCAGAAAGAUGUAGUAUUCAUGUCUUAAGUCUUUUUUGAGGAUACCACCAUGAUUCUAUUCCACAAUCUCCAUUUUUUGGUUUUGCUUAAAAUAGCUGCCAAAUGAAAAAGUCCAUCUUUCCCUAUCCAUUCUUACCCUCUUCAUUUCUCCUCUCUCAAUCAAAAGAAGCAAGGAGCAGAAGGAUGUAGUCUGUCAAUAUAUCCCAAUUUAAUCCAAACCCCUUGGUCAUACCAGGUUCAAUGUCUGGAGAACUUCCACAUUGCCACAGAAAAUUAAACUAAUCUGGAUAGAUUCACAGGAAGCUGUAUUUUCUGCUGAAUGAAAGCUUUGGUGGUUUUUACCAUUUUCCAUUUCAGACUGAAACCAUUAAGGAAACACAUGAACACCUGAAAAACAAAGUGAUUCUAAGACUUCCAGCUGUGAGUUGCAUUAGGGCUUUUUACAAUUACCCAUUUUCUAGCUGCCAAUUUAAAAUGAUCUGGUUAUUACAUUUUUUCUCAAAAUAAGGAUCAAGUUCCUUUAAGAUUUAGAAAAUGUUGUGGUGAUGGAGAGACCACCCUGUUGGGGCUGUUCCUGUUGCACUGUGCUUUCUGCACUGAAAUUUUCAUCCAUUUUCAUCCACACUGGAAAUUUCUGUGUUGAGUCUUCACUGAGUAACUACUCAGCCUUCAUGAAAAGUCCGUGUGCCUUCAUGGGGGUACGUGGGAAGAGGUAAGCUGAACUGGGGAGGCUGUGACUGUUGGAGGGUAAAAGAUAGAAUAGAGGGAUAAGAGGGUAGAAGAGUUCCAGGAUGACUUGGCUUGAGGAGAAUAAACCUGGUAUCAGGAUUCAAAACUGGAAAGGUGUGGAGAAUAUGCUAGGCAGAAAGGGAAUUAAGGUUUCAAAACAACGUUUUUCUAUUUGAUCACCAGUUAUGAUUAGGUAUUCAAAUUAAUAAUCCUAAACUGAGCGUAAGUAAUUUUAAAUGUAACACUAGAAAAUGUUCCAUUUUGCCCUUUAAUUUGGAAUGCUUAUAAGAGACAUUAUUUUUUUUUAAUCUUGUAAAAGAAACGAAGGUUGAAAACAGGGACUAAAAUAACACUCCUCAUAUUUUCCUACCUGAAAUGAAGAUAAAAUAUAUCUUAGGAACAGGAGAUAAUACUGUCCAAUGUCUGCAAGUUUUCUGCAGUAUGAUUUUAUUCUGUUAUUAACUCACUGAAUGUAACCAGUGUCAGAAUACUGAAAACUGAUGUGAGAUUUCUAUUAAUAACACUGAACAUAAACUUUACCAGAAGAUAUAUUUGGUACUUAUGUCAAGAACAAGUCUUCCAGAUGAAUAUAAACAGAGUAUUUCUAAAAAAAUAAAAUUAUACAGUGUAUGGUAUCUUUAUACUGCAUUUUUAAUAAUAUCCAUAAUUAGCCUUCCUUCCUUCCUUCCUUCCUUCCUUCCUUCCUUCCUUCCUUCCUUCUCCUACAUAGAUAUCUACCUCUCUCUCUCUGUUUACCUAUUUACCUUCUUAUAUUCAAGAAGUCAGGCUGUAAAAUUCAGUUUCUCCUUUUUCUUUACAGAUUAUGAAAGGAUUUAUUCAUCUCGUGAUACAAGGGGAGCACAAGUCAAAGAAAGAAGAACGAAAGAAAUUUGACUCUUGCUAAGAUCUUGUCCUAAAGGAUUGAUUUCACUAAGAAUGCUGGAGCCUAAAACAGGACUUCAGGGGCAGGAUACGGUUUGUUUUGAUCCCCAUCUGAAAGAGACUCAAAAGCCAAAUGAUGAAAAACAGACUCAAACUUCUUUCUCCACUGAGUUUGACAAAUUAUUCUAAUAUGCAGCAAUCAUAAGGAAAAGCUGGCAUACAGCAUCUUCUGGAUUAUCACUGGAACAGGUUUUCCAGAAAAGCUACGGUUUCCCCUUCCCUGGAAGUGUUCAGGGCCAGAUUGGAUGGGACUC